UACGUAGGGAGCAAGCGUUGUCCGGAAUCAUUGGGCGUAAAGCGCGCGUAGGUGGCUUCGUAAGUCCGUUGUGAAAGUCAAAGGCUCAACCUUUGAAAGCCGAUGGAUACUGCGGAGCUAGAGUACGGAAGAGGCGAGUGGAAUUCCUGGUGUAGCGGUGAAAUGCGCAGAUAUCAGGAGGAACACCAAUGGCGAAGGCGGCUCUCUGGGACGGUACUGACGGCUGAGACGCGAAAGCGUGGGGAGCGAACAGG
rnacentral:rRNA from 1 species